rnacentral:rRNA from 1 species
GGAUAACUGUGGUAAUUCUAGAGCUAAUACAUGCCGAGCCAGCGCCGACCUUGACGGGAGGCGUGCUUUUAUUAGGAACAAGACCGACCCGGGCUCGUCCCGG